UUUUCCAGUUUUGUUUUUUAAUUUUUAUUCUUUUGUAAUGUACAGAAAACCAACUUACAGUUUAACACAAGACACUACUGAAAAUACACAAUCACAGAUUGUUCUUUCAGGAAAUACAGUAUAUACAGAGAAUUGUAAACAUGUCAUUUUGUCCCCAGACACACAGGCCACACCAUCCACAAAUAGUCACAUCAUAGAACAGACACGUUUUGAAAGUCUUCCCGUAUCCCAAAGAGGCAGUGUAGAGAUUUGGUUACAGUUUACAGUGAGACUCCAUUCAACCUCGUUUCUCUACCAGUCUCAAAACAGCAAACGUUUAUCAUGGAUUAUGGCGAAUGUAGACCCAACAUCAGCUAAGGGCACAAAUAAGUAAAGUCUAUAUUUAUGGCAGUACUGUACUUACAGCUCUUUGUGUUCCUAAGUGUAUAUAGUUCAAUUUUUUGACAUAGGUAGGGAUCUGGUAGAGCCAAUGUUUGGUAUGUAACUAUGCUUGUAUUUGUACGAUUCUUUGUCACGUAAAGUUAAACUCAUGGUAAAAAUGUCCAGGCAAAGUACAACGUGGCAAAUCGUACGUUGGUUUUAUUUUACUAAAACCCAACCAGUAACUCUGCAGAUAUUGGGUUUCCAUUCUAAUCGUUUUAAGCUUAGUAUUGUCAAGAAUCAUGGAACUUUAACAACUGCUGCUCUUGGCUAUCUAUUCAAGUUCUGAUUAAUAGUGUGUUUUAUUAUUUCAUAUUUCUGAUUCUUAUCCACUUAAAUGAGCAGUUUGAUAAGCCAAUUCAGAUCAUGGAUAUCAAAGUCCAAAUGAUUGACCCAAAGAGCUACGCAUCUGCUAGUGCUGUGUGUCUCCCCUGACCCUCUUGCUAUAUUAUAAUGCAAAUUGGAAUAGAUUUAAGACAUUCCUAAACCCUGCACAUCUGACCGUUAUUGACAGAUGGUUGGGGAACCUCUAUGCUAGCAGAUGGGUUUAUGGUAAAACAAGUAAGUCGUGUAAGGGUCAAUGUUGAUCUCAUGAAGAAUUACUUCUGAUGCGUCCCUACAGCUUUGUACAAAAAAGUUAACGCAAGUACAGUAUUUAUCACCACAAAGAAUGUAUAAGACUCACUUCUCAAUUCUAAAAAACCUCCAGAAAAAAUAAGGCCACUGUGUAUAGAAUAUUAAUCUAAACUCUGUGCCAGCCUUUAAUUUGAAUGUAAACCUCUCUGAAAUCUUUUAAUUAUAUGUUGUGCAUUGCAAUAUGAAUUGGCAGGGAAAGGGUUCAGUUUAAAAGUUGUGUUGGCAAAAAGUAGAAGCAUUGGUAAUAUUCUAAAUUCACAACUAGGUGGUGCUCUAUAGUCAUUAUUACUGACACUUUGUAAUUGAAUAUGGUAGUCCUUGUUCCCUGUAUGGAGGUAAUGUUACUUACAGCCCAAGUAAUGCAGAUUGAUGUACAUAUUAACUGUUUUUGGCACAGGACUUGUAUCUGGGUAUAUAUUGGCACUAUGGCAAAGAACCACCAACCAAUGCUCAGUUGUAUCGAAAUCCCUGCUUCUGCUCAGUAGUGCCAAUUGACAGUAUUACCUGUGCUAGUCGAGUCCAGCAUGUUUAUUUGGACACAUACUAAGCCUACAUGCUGAAAUCCUACAAGUGAUCAUUCAGAGAGAGGUACCCUGCAGUUUGUGAAUCCACGUUGCGGGGCAGUGCUUUUCCUGCACUGCACAUCAUUCUGUAUAUGUGUCCUGGAAAACUUGGUGGAUAAGGCGAACAUAUGUAGUGGGCCAGUGAAUACUAUAUUUUGUCUAUUCAGUUUUCAGGUUUACCCUAAGUUUAAAGGCACACGAUAGUCACCCAGACCAAUUCAUCUCAAUGAAGUUUGGGUGCAGUGUACCUGUCCUUUUAGCAACCAUGCAGUUUAAAUCCACAGUGGCUAUCAUACUGACAGACACUAGAGGCGCUUCUGUAGCACUGACUGCAUGUAAUUCAGUCAUGUGAUGCGGGUGCAGGGUGACACUAUAAAGAACUAGGGACUAUAGUGCUGAGAAUACAGGUUUGUAUCCCUAAAGCUCUACAGUUCGUUUCACACAGGGGAACCCAAAAGGUAGAUUUCCAGAUAAUUUUAAACUACAGUUUCCAUGAUGCUUUGUUUACAAAAGGCAUGUAAAGCAU